rnacentral:lncRNA from 1 species
CACAUCUUCUGUGAUGGACUUGAAAUUCCAGGGCAGCUUUUUCUUCUACCAGUAUACCCGUGACUUUCCCCCUACUGCCCACCUGGUUGGAAUGCGAUGGCGUGAUCUCGGCUCACUGCAACCUCCGCCUCCCGGGUUCAAGCAAUUCUCCUGCCUCAACCUCCAAAGUAACUGGGAUUUACAGGCACCCACCACCACUCCCAGCUAAUUUUUUUGUAUUUUUAGUAGAGAUGGGGUUUCACUUUUUUGGCCAGGCUGGUCUCAAACUCCUGACCUCAGAUGAUCCGCCCAUCCUGGCCUCCCAAAGUGCUGGGAUUAUAGGCAUGACCCACCGUACCCGGCCGGGUACCACACACUUUUAAACAGCCAGCUCUCACAAGAACUCACUAUCAUGAGUACAGCACCAAGACAUUCAUGAGGGAUCUGCCCCCAGGACACAAACACCGCCCACCAGGCCCCACUUCCAACAUUGCAAUCACUUUUCAACGUGAGAUUUGGAGGGGACGAAUAUUCAAACCAUAUCAGUGCCCACAGUGGCAACUGGCUUGCUAACAUACCCCACAUUGUUGCCCCCAUCCCCUGCCUCACUUCCCCGCUCCCCUACCUAUGUUUCCUGGGAUCAAACUGCAAAUAAACUGCUUCCACUCAAA